rnacentral:rRNA from 1 species
CGUGAGGAACCUGCCUUCCAGAGGGGGACAACAGUUGGAAACGACUGCUAAUACCGCAUGAUGCGUUGGAGCCGCAUGACUCUGACGCCAAAGAUUUAUCGCUGGAAGAUGGCCUCGCGUCUGAUUAGCUAGUUGGUGAGGUAACGGCCCACCAAGGCGACGAUCAGUAGCCGGACUGAGAGGUUGGCCGGCCACAUUGGGACUGAGAUACGGCCCAGACUCCUACGGGAGGCAGCAG